rnacentral:rRNA from 1 species
UACGAAGGGGGCUAGCGUUGCUCGGAAUCACUGGGCGUAAAGGGUGCGUAGGCGGGUCUUUAAGUCAGGGGUGAAAUCCUGGAGCUCAACUCCAGAACUGCCCUUGAUACUGAGGAUCUUGAGUUCGGGAGAGGUGAGUGGAACUGCGAGUGUAGAGGUGAAAUUCGUAGAUAUUCGCAAGAACACCAGUGGCGAAGGCGGCUCACUGGCCCGAUACUGACGCUGAGGCACGAAAGCGUGGGGGAGCAA